rnacentral:rRNA from 1 species
AUUGAACGCUGGCGGCAUGCCUUACACAUGCAAGUCGAACGGUAACAGGUCUUCGGAUGCUGACGAGUGGCGAACGGGUGAGUAAUACAUCGGAACGUGCCUAGUAGUGGGGGAUAACUACUCGAAAGAGUGGCUAAUACCGCAUGAGAUCUACGGAUGAAAGCAGGGGAUCGCAAGACCUCGUGCUACUAGAGCGGCCGAUGGCAGAUUAGGUAGUUGGUGGGAUAAAAGCUUACCAAGCCGACGAUCUGUAGCUGGUCUGAGAGGACGAUCGGCCACACUGGGACUGAGACACGGCCCAGACUCCUACGGGAGGCAGCAGUGGGGAAUUUUGGACAAUGGGCGCAAGCCUGAUCCAGCAAUGCCGCGUGCAGGAUGAAGGCCUUCGGGUUGUAAACUGCUUUUGUACGGAACGAAAAGCCCUGGGUUAAUACCCUGGGGUCAUGACGGUACCGUAAGAAUAAGCACCGGCUAACUACGUGCCAGCCGCCGCGGUAACAC